rnacentral:rRNA from 1 species
UACAGAGGGUGCGAGCGUUAAUCGGAAUUACUGGGCGUAAAGCGUGCGUAGACGGUUAUCUAAGUCGGAUGUGAAAGCCCCGGGCUCAACCUGGGAAUUGCAUUCGAGACUGAAUAGCUAGGGUACGGUAGAGGGAAGUGGAAUUUCCGGUGUAGCGGUGAAAUGCGUAGAUAUCGGAAGGAACAUCAGUGGCGAAAGCGACUUCCUGGACCAAUACUGACGCUCAUGUGCGAAAGCGUGGGGAGCAAACAGG